CUCUCUUCUCCAAACAGACCGUUCCACCCUUUUGCUAAAAAACAAAACCUUUUUUUCAAUUAACCCUAUAACCUAAAGUCUUAACCUUUAUGCUUUUCCAAACUAAAGAACAAAACCCACAUCUCUUCUCGAAACAAACCGCUAUACCCUUCUGUUAAAAAACAAAACCCUUUUUUUAAUUAACCCUAUUUAGCUUCUGCUCAAGCUCGAAUCCGAUAAUCGGCAGUCCGAAUCGGCGACGACUACUGGGUGUGAGGCUCUUCUUCAACUGAAAUAGGUUUGCCGUUUGCAUAUUACAAGACAAGAUCAAUUAUAUUAUAUUUUGCUGAACUAAAAGCCUCUUUACUUCAAGGAUAAAAAAUUUCACAAAUUGUUGGAGAAUCUUUUAAGCGUAGAGAUCAACUUCGUGAUCAUCAAGCAGAAUUGUUGGAGAAAUUGCUAGAGAGUGGUGAACUUCAAAGUGGUAAAUGAUUAAAUCAAGAGCGAGGGCUUCAAAGGCUAGGUGACACUCAUUGGGGAUCACAUUGUAGAACGUUGGAUAACUUUGUUGUUUUAUUUUCAUCUAUUAUUCAUGUGCUUGAGGUGGUUGAAUGUGAAGGUUCUGAGGCUGAUGAUAGAUUACAAGCAGAAGCGUUUUUGAGUAAAAUCAAUGCAUUUGACUUGUUUUCUUGCUUCACUUGAUGUUGAAAGUGUUGAUGAUGUCGAACGAGUUGAGUAAAGCUUUGCUGAAGAAAGAGCAAGAUAUUGUUAAUGCCAUGGUAUUUCUUGACCUCACAAAGGAAAGGUUGCAAGUAAUGAGAGAAGAUGGAUGGGUGUCAUUGAUGGAUGACGUUUCUUCAUUUUGUGCUAAACAUGAUAUUGUGGUACCCAAUAUGGAAGAAUUCUAUAUUCCUGGAAAGUCAAAGCAUAGACCUUCUACUGUUACGUAUUCACAUCACUUAUGUGUUGAUCUUUUUUAUUCUGUGAUUGAUUUGCAGUUUCAGGAGCUUAACAGUCAUUUUGAUGUUGUGAGUAGUAACUUUCUUCUUGGUAUGGCUAACUUGAAUCCGGUUAAUUCAUUUGCUAAUUUUGAUAAGGAAAAAAUAAUGACAUUGGCCAAGUAUUAUCCAGAUGAGUUUGGCGAAUUGAAGCUUUGAGAUCUUAGUCACUAACUUGACACUUUCAUAUUGCACAUGCGACGUGGUGACCUUAGGUUUUCUGAUUUGAAAGGAAUUGGUGAUUUGGCAAAAGCCUUGGUUGAGGCAAAUCUUGCAGAGAGUUAUUCACUUAUUUAUUUACUUGUAAAGUUAACUCUAAUUUUGCCUAUCGCGACUGCAACGGUGGAAAGAGUAUUUUUAUCCAUGAAGUACAUCAAAGAUGAAUUACGUAGUAGUAUUAGUGAUACAUUUUUAAAUGAUUAUUUAGUUUGUUACUUUGAGAAGGAAGUAUUUA